rnacentral:piRNA from 1 species
UAAAGUUUGGUGAAAGGUGUUCAAU